rnacentral:lncRNA from 1 species
UUCCCCCUCGCGGGCCUCGGCGAGGUGCCGAGCGAUGUGGAUGAGCCUGGAGGAGGUGCUGGUGGCCAACGUGCUGUGAGUGACGAAGUGGACCAACCCCUUCUUCGUGCUACAGCGGCGCCGGGGCCACGGCAAGGGCGGAGGCCUCAAGGGUUCUUCCCACAAAGAGAUCACAAAACACUGGGAAUGGCUGGAAAAUAACUUGUUCCAGACACUGUCCAUCUUCAACAGUGAAGAUGAUAUCACCACCUUCAUCAAGGGCAAGAUACACGUAAGGUUUAUGCGCCACUCCCUGUCCUCCCCUUCCCUGGCCGGCAGUGUUCUCGUGUAUUAUCCUAUUUAAUCUUCACAAUGUAGGGUGUGUCCCAACUUUUCAGAGGUGGAGACUGAGGUGUCAGUGCUCCUUCUCUUGGAGUUGAAAGGGGCAGAGGAACUCAUGACCCAGGAAAACCCUUUGUUACCCUGUCUGGGACCUGGAGGCUACUAAAGCCUAGCUCGAGGCUUCCAUUCCUACCCAAGUGCCUUGGAAGGUAGAUGCAGAUAGACAGUUCUGUUUGCCAGAAGAGAUGCUGGAAACAAUAGGAUAUUCUGAGUUAUUUUUUUAUUAUAAAACUAACAUUAUUUUAAAA